GACGAACCGUGCGAACGUUGUUCGGAAUCAUUGGGCUUAAAGGGCGCGUAGGCGGUCCCGCAAGUCAAGGGUGAAAUCCCACGGCUCAACCGUGGAAGUGCCUUUGAUACUGCGGGUCUAGAGGGAGGUAGGGGCGUGCGGAACUUCCGGUGGAGCGGUGAAAUGCGUAGAUAUCGGAAGGAACACCGGUGGCGAAAGCGGCGCGCUGGACCUCUACUGACGCUGAGGCGCGAAAGCCAGGGGAGCAAACGGG
rnacentral:rRNA from 1 species